AUUGAACGCUGGCGGCAUGCUUUACACAUGCAAGUCGAACGCGAAAGGGGGGCAACCCCUGAGUAGAGUGGCGAACGGGUGAGUAAUGCAUCGGAACGUGUCCUGUAGUGGGGGAUAACCCCGAGAAAUCGGGGCUAAUACCGCGUACGUCCUACGGGAGAAAGCGGGGGACCGCAAGGCCUCGCGCUAUAGGAGCGGCCGAUGCCGGAUUAGCUAGUUGGCGGGGUAAGAGCCCACCAAGGCGACGAUCCGUAGCUGGUCUGAGAGGAUGAUCAGCCACACUGGGACUGAGACACGGCCCAGACUCCUACGGGUGGCAG
rnacentral:rRNA from 1 species